rnacentral:rRNA from 1 species
AAACUUUCAACAACGGAUCUCUUGGCUCCAGCAUCGAUGAAGAACGCAGCGAAACGCGAUAUGUAAUGUGAAUUGCAGAAUUCAGUGAAUCAUCGAAUCUUUGAACGCACAUGGCGCCUUCCAGUAUCCUGGGAGGCAUGCCUGUCCGAGCGUCGU